UACGUAGGGUGCGAGCGUUGUCCGGAAUUACUGGGCGUAAAGAGCUCGUAGGUGGUUUGUCGCGUUGUUCGUGAAAACUCACAGCUUAACUGUGGGCGUGCGGGCGAUACGGGCAGACUGGAGUACUGCAGAGGAGACUGGAAUUCCUGGUGUAGCGGUGGAAUGCGCAGAUAUCAGGAGGAACACCGGUGGCGAAGGCGGGUCUCUGGGCAGUAACUGACGCUGAGGAGCGAAAGCGUGGGGAGCGAACAGG
rnacentral:rRNA from 1 species